AGAGUUUGAUCCUGGCUCAGGAUGAACGCUGGCGGCGUGCCUAAUACAUGCAAGUCGAGCGAACGGACGAGAAGCUUGCUUCUCUGAUGUUAGCGGCGGACGGGUGAGUAACACGUGGAUAACCUACCUAUAAGACUGGGAUAACUUCGGGAAACCGGAGCUAAUACCGGAUAAUAUUUUGAACCGCAUGGUUCAAAAGUGAAAGACGGUCUUGCUGUCACUUAUAGAUGGAUCCGCGCUGCAUUAGCUAGUUGGUAAGGUAACGGCUUACCAAGGCAACGAUGCAUAGCCGACCUGAGAGGGUGAUCGGCCACACUGGAACUGAGACACGGUCCAGACUCCUACGGGAGGCAGCAGUAGGGAAUCUUCCGCAAUGGGCGAAAGCCUGACGGAGCAACGCCGCGUGAGUGAUGAAGGUCUUCGGAUCGUAAAACUCUGUUAUUAGGGAAGAACAUAUGUGUAAGUAACUGUGCACAUCUUGACGGUACCUAAUCAGAAAGCCACGGCUAACUACGUGCCAGCAGCCGCGGUAAUACGUAGGUGGCAAGCGUUAUCCGGAAUUAUUGGGCGUAAAGCGCGCGUAGGCGGUUUUUUAAGUCUGAUGUGAAAGCCCACGGCUCAACCGUGGAGGGUCAUUGGAAACUGGAAAACUUGAGUGCAGAAGAGGAAAGUGGAAUUCCAUGUGUAGCGGUGAAAUGCGCAGAGAUAUGGAGGAACACCAGUGGCGAAGGCGACUUUCUGGUCUGUAACUGACGCUGAUGUGCGAAAGCGUGGGGAUCAAACAGGAUUAGAUACCCUGGUAGUCCACGCCGUAAACGAUGAGUGCUAAGUGUUAGGGGGUUUCCGCCCCUUAGUGCUGCAGCUAACGCAUUAAGCACUCCGCCUGGGGAGUACGACCGCAAGGUUGAAACUCAAAGGAAUUGACGGGGACCCGCACAAGCGGUGGAGCAUGUGGUUUAAUUCGAAGCAACGCGAAGAACCUUACCAAAUCUUGACAUCCUUUGACAACUCUAGAGAUAGAGCCUUCCCCUUCGGGGGACAAAGUGACAGGUGGUGCAUGGUUGUCGUCAGCUCGUGUCGUGAGAUGUUGGGUUAAGUCCCGCAACGAGCGCAACCCUUAAGCUUAGUUGCCAUCAUUAAGUUGGGCACUCUAAGUUGACUGCCGGUGACAAACCGGAGGAAGGUGGGGAUGACGUCAAAUCAUCAUGCCCCUUAUGAUUUGGGCUACACACGUGCUACAAUGGACAAUACAAAGGGCAGCGAAACCGCGAGG
rnacentral:rRNA from 2 species